GAAUAUUGGACAAUGGGUGAAAGCCUGAUCCAGCCAUCCCGCGUGAAGGAUGACGGUCCUAUGGAUUGUAAACUUCUUUUGUACAGGAAUAAACCUACUCUCGUGAGAGUAGCUGAAGGCACUGUACGAAUAAGCACCGGCUAACUCCGUGCCAGCAGCCGCGGUAAUACGGAGGGUGCAAGCGUUAUUCGGAUUUAUUGGGUUUAAAGGGUCCGUAGGCGGGCCUGUAAGUCAGUGGUGAAAUCUCAUAGCUUAACUAUGAAACUGCCAUUGAUACUGCAGGUCUUGAGUAAAUUUGAAGUGGCUGGAAUAAGUAGUGUAGCGGUGAAAUGCAUAGAUAUUACUUAGAACACCAAUUGCGAAGGCAGGUCACUAAGAUUUAACUGACGCUGAUGGACGAAAGCGUGGGUAGCGAACAG
rnacentral:rRNA from 1 species